ACCAGGCAGGCCGGUGGCUGAGAGGGUGUUCUGCAAGUUAUUGCCUUCUUCAGAAGUUUUUCAGAUUUGGAAACUAACUUUUGAGGAGCCAAGUGUCUUACCAAGAGUUGCCCAGCUGGAGCCCACCACUGCUACAGGACCCCAGGGCUACAUGUUUCUCUAGAAAGCAGUGCCUGCUUGUUUUAUUCUUGAAGAACUGAGCUGGAUCAAGUAAAUGCUGUCAGAGAUAUGAAACAGCAAUAGUAUUACCAUUAAAAGCAACUGGUAUGAGACCUCUUUUGUCUUUAUUACAGUGUUCCAUUUAGUGGAAGUAAGGAUUCCCAAACAUAUACAAUGGGGACUCAAGUUUUCCAACUUGAAGUUUCUUAAGACUUUCUCAGAUUCCACUGUAUUUGUCUACUCAGGCUACAACAAAAUACCACAGACUGGGUGACUUAACAGAAAUUUCUUUUCUUACAUUUGCUAGAGCUUCUAAUAUAUUCU
ensembl:lncRNA